CGUCCGGCUGCUUCGGCUUCUGUUCCGGC
rnacentral:sRNA from 1 species